CCCCUCACUGAUUAUGAGCUCAUUAGCUAGAUCCUUGUAGGGCUUGGUUUGGACUAUGAUCCACUCAUAACCUCUCUCACAACUCGACUUGAACCCAUGAAACUCCAAAAGACAUACGGGCAACUCCUUAAUUAUGAGC